GACGAACGCUGGCGGCGUGCUUAACACAUGCAAGUCGAACGGAAAGGCCCUGCUUUUGUGGGGUGCUCGAGUGGCGAACGGGUGAGUAACACGUGAGUAACCUGCCCUUGACUUUGGGAUAACUUCAGGAAACUGGGGCUAAUACCGGAUAGGAGCUCCUGCUGCAUGGUGGGGGUUGGAAAGUUUCGGCGGUUGGGGAUGGACUCGCGGCUUAUCAGCUUGUUGGUGGGGUAGUGGCUUACCAAGGCUUUGACGGGUAGCCGGCCUUAGAGGGUGACCGGCCACAUUGGGACUGAGAUACGGCCCAGACUCCUACGGGAGGCAGCAGUGGGGAAUCUUGCACAAUGGGCGGAAGCCUGAUGCAGCAACGCCGCGUGCGGGAUGACGGCCUUCGGGUUGUAAACCGCUUUCGCCUGUGACGAAGCGUGAGUGACGGUAAUGGGUAAAGAAGCACCGGCUAACUACGUG
rnacentral:rRNA from 1 species